rfam:Ovis aries breed Texel chromosome 1, whole genome shotgun sequence.
CCAGUGGUGGCUCACUGGGUAAAGAACCUGCCUGCAAUGCAGGAGACACAGGUUCAAUUCCUGCAUUGGA